rnacentral:rRNA from 1 species
AGAGUUUGAUCCUGGCUCAGGAUGAACGCUGGCGGCGUGCCUAACACAUGCAAGUCGAACGGACUUACAUUGAAGCCUAGCGAUAUGUAAGUUAGUGGCGGACGGGUGAGUAACGCGUGGGUAACCUGCCUUGUACUGGGGGACAACAGUUGGAAACGACUGCUAAUACCGCAUAAGCGCACAGCUUCGCAUGAAGCGGUGUGAAAAACUCCGGUGGUACAAGAUGGACCCGCGUCUGAUUAGCUGGUUGGUGAGGUAACGGCCCACCAAGGCGACGAUCAGUAGCCGGCCUGAGAGGGUGAACGGCCACAUUGGGACUGAGACACGGCCCAAACUCCUACGGGAGGCAGCAGUGGGGAAUAUUGCACAAUGGGGGAAACCCUGAUGCAGCAACGCCGCGUGAGUGAAGAAGUAUUUCGGUAUGUAAAGCUCUAUCAGCAGGAAAGAAAAUGACGGUACCUGACUAAGAAGCCCCGGCUAACUACGUGCCAGCAGCCGCGGUAAUACGUAGGGGGCAAGCGUUAUCCGGAUUUACUGGGUGUAAAGGGAGCGUAGACGGUUUUGCAAGUCUGAAGUGAUAGCCCGGGGCUUAACCCCGGGACUGCUUUGGAAACUGUAGAACUAGAGUGCAGGAGAGGUAAGUGGAAUUCCUAGUGUAGCGGUGAAAUGCGUAGAUAUUAGGAGGAACACCAGUGGCGAAGGCGGCUUACUGGACUGUAACUGACGUUGAGGCUCGAAAGCGUGGGGAGCAAACAGGAUUAGAUACCCUGGUAGUCCACGCCGUAAACGAUGAUUACUAGGUGUUGGUGGGUAUGACCCAUCGGUGCCGCAGCAAACGCAAUAAGUAUUCCACCUGGGGAGUACGCCGGCAACGGUGAAACUCAAAGGAAUUGACGGGGGCCCGCACAAGCGGAGGAACAUGUGGUUUAAUUCGAUGAUACGCGAGGAACCUUACCCGGGCUUGAAUUGCAACUGAAUGAUGUGGAGACAUGUCAGCCGCAAGGCAGUUGUGAAGGUGCUGCAUGGUUGUCGUCAGCUCGUGCCGUGAGGUGUCGGCUUAAGUGCCAUAACGAGCGCAACCCUUAUCGAUAGUUACCAUCAGGUUAUGCUGGGGACUCUGUCGAGACUGCCGUCGUAAGAUGUGAGGAAGGUGGGGAUGACGUCAAAUCAGCACGGCCCUUACGUCCGGGGCUACACACGUGUUACAAUGGGGGGUACAGAAGGCAGCUACACGGCGACGUGAUGCUAAUCCCUAAAGCCUCUCUCAGUUCGGAUAGGAGUCUGCAACCCGACUCCAUGAAGCUGGAUUCGCUAGUAAUCGCGCAUCAGCCACGGCGCGGUGAAUACAAUCCCGGGCCUUGUACACACCGCCCGUCA